CUAAUCUUGCAGGUAGUACCCUUUACUCCGAGUGCUGGUAUACUUGAAUGGGUUGAUCGUACUAUUCCACUUGGCGAAUACCUUUUAGGAAGUGCAAGAAAUGGUGGAGCACAUGGACGUUAUGGGGUUGGCGAUUGGACAUUUCUUCAUUGCAGGGAAUACAUGAUGAAUGAGAAGGACACGAGGAAGGCAUUUGUGAAAAUCUGUGACAAUUUCAGGUUUG